rnacentral:rRNA from 2 species
AAAUUGAAGAGUUUGAUCAUGGCUCAGAUUGAACGCUGGCGGCAGGCCUAACACAUGCAAGUCGAACGGUAACAGGAAGCAGCUUGCUGCUUUGCUGACGAGUGGCGGACGGGUGAGUAAUGUCUGGGAAACUGCCUGAUGGAGGGGGAUAACUACUGGAAACGGUGGCUAAUACCGCAUAACGUCGCAAGACCAAAGAGGGGGACCUUCGGGCCUCUUGCCAUCAGAUGUGCCCAGAUGGGAUUAGCUUGUUGGUGAGGUAACGGCUCACCAAGGCGACGAUCCCUAGCUGGUCUGAGAGGAUGACCAGCCACACUGGAACUGAGACACGGUCCAGACUCCUACGGGAGGCAGCAGUGGGGAAUAUUGCACAAUGGGCGCAAGCCUGAUGCAGCCAUGCCGCGUGUAUGAAGAAGGCCUUCGGGUUGUAAAGUACUUUCAGCGGGGAGGAAGGUGUUGUGGUUAAUAACCGCAGCAAUUGACGUUACCCGCAGAAGAAGCACCGGCUAACUCCGUGCCAGCAGCCGCGGUAAUACGGAGGGUGCAAGCGUUAAUCGGAAUUACUGGGCGUAAAGCGCACGCAGGCGGUCUGUCAAGUCGGAUGUGAAAUCCCCGGGCUCAACCUGGGAACUGCAUUCGAAACUGGCAGGCUUGAGUCUUGUAGAGGGGGGUAGAAUUCCAGGUGUAGCGGUGAAAUGCGU